rnacentral:rRNA from 1 species
ACAGCUCAAAUUUGAAAGCUAGCCUUCGGGUUCGCAUUGUAAUUUGUAGAGGAUGAUUUGGGGAAGCCGCCUGUCUAAGUUCCUUGGAACAGGACGUCAUAGAGGGUGAGAAUCCCGUAUGUGACAGGAAAUGGCACCCUAUGUAAAUCUCCUUCGACGAGUCGAGUUGUUUGGGAAUGCAGCUCUAAAUGGGAGGUAAAUUUCUUCUAAAGCUAAAUAUUGGCGAGAGACCGAUAGCGCACAAGUAGAGUGAUCGAAAGAUGAAAAGCACUUUGGAAAGAGAGUUAAAAAGCACGUGAAAUUGUUGAAAGGGAAGCGCUUGCAAUCAGACUUGUUUAAACUGUUCGGCCGGUCUUCUGACCGGUUUACUCAGUUUGGACAGGCCAGCAUCAGUUUCGGCGGCCGGAUAAAGGCUCUGGGAAUGUGGCCUCCACUUCGGUGGAGGUGUUAUAGCCCAGGGUGUAAUACGGCCAGCCGGGACUGAGGUCCGCGCUUCGGCUAGGAUGCUGGCGUAAUGGUU